ensembl:misc_RNA 7SK 7SK RNA
GGAUGUGAGAGCCAUCUGACUGCAACAUCUGUCACCUUGUUGAUCACCAAGGUUGAUUUAGCUGAUCUGGUUGGCUUGGCAGGUGUUCCUAUCCUCUCUCACCACUCUGUGUGUGCAUCCUUCUAAAAGCUAUGUGCUCAGUCUGACACUAGGAUCUUCCCUGAUAGAGGAGGACCAUUUUUUGAUCAAGGGUAUAGGGAGAGCUGCAUCCUCUACUCCCCACCCUCUGGAGAACCUCCAAAUAAGCUUUCUAGGUCCAUUUGUAGGAGAAUGUCAGACACUCAAGCUUCCAAGACCCCAAACACAGCCAAAUGAGGUCCUGAGUGUCACAGUCUGCCUUUCUCU